CCCCUCUCAGGAUCGCACCUGGAGUGUUUCCAGUACUCUACCAGCCUCGGUUAUGUGAGAGAGAGUCAAUCAGAGGCCUUCCCAUUCCAUUCCUGGCUUGGCCAGUGGCUAGCGAGUGGAAGCCAAUCUGCUACAAGU